rnacentral:rRNA from 1 species
UUAAAGUUGUUGUGGUUAAAAAGCUCGUAGUUGAACCUUGGGCCUGGCUGGCCGGUCCGCCUCACCGCGUGUACUGGUCCGGCCGGGCCUUUCCUUCUGGGGAACCUCAUGCCCUUCACUGGGCGUGUUGGGGAACCAGGACUUUUACUUUGAAAAAAUUAGAGUGUUCAAAGCAGGCCUAUGCCCGAAUACAUUAGCAUGGAAUAAUAGAAUAGGACGUGCGGUUCUAUUUUGUUGGUUUCUAGGAUCGCCGUAAUGAUUAAUAGGGAUAGUUGGGGGCAUUUGUAUUCCGUCGUCAGAGGUGAAAUUCUUGGAUUGAUUGAAGACUAACUACUGCGAAAGCAUUUGCCAAGGACGUUUUCAUUAAUCAAGAACGAAGGUUAGGGGAUCGAAAACGAUCAGAUACCGUUGUAGUCUCUUCUGUAAACUAUGCCAAUUGGGGAUUAGCUCAGGAUUUUUAAUGACUGAGUUAGCACCCGAAGAGAAAUCUUUAAAUGAGGUUCGGGGGGGAGUAUGGUCGCAAGGCUGAAACUUAAAG